UGAGCAAUCUGCCCUUCUCUUCGGAAUAAGCGUUGGAAACGACGUCUAAUGCCGAAUACGACCUCCUUUCGCAUGAUCGGAGGUGGAAAGCUCCGGCGGAGAAGGAUGAGCUCGCGGCCUAUCAGCUUGUUGGUGAGGUAAUGGCUCACCAAGGCGACGACGGGUAGCCGGCCUGAGGAGGGCGAUCGGCCACACUGGGACUGAGAUACGGCCCAGACUCCUAGGGAG
rnacentral:rRNA from 1 species